AGAGUUUGAUCCUGGCUCAGGACGAACGCUGGCGGCGUGCUUAACACAUGCAAGUCGAACGAGAGGACAUGAAAAGCUUGCUUUUUAUGGAAUCGAGUGGCAAACGGGUGAGUAACGCGUAAGCAACCUGCCCUGCAGAUGGGGACAACAGCUGGAAACGGCUGCUAAUACCGAAUACGAAGCAGCUCCCGCAUGGGGGCAGCUUGAAAGGAUGGCCUCUGAAUAUGCUAUCGCUGCAGGAGGGGCUUGCGUCUGAUUAGCUGGUUGGAGGGGUAACGGCCCACCAAGGCGACGAUCAGUAGCCGGUCUGAGAGGAUGAACGGCCACAUUGGGACUGAGACACGGCCAGACUCCUACGGGAGGCAGCAGUGGGGAAUCUUCCGCAAUGGACGAAAGUCUGACGGAGCACGCCGCGUGAGUGAAGACGGCCUUCGGUUGUAAAGCUCUGUUAUACGGGACGAACGGGCGGGAUGCUAAUACCAUCCUUGUUGUGACCGGUACCGUAAGAAAAAGCCACGGUAACUACUGCCACAGCCGCGGUAAUACUAGGUGAAGCGUUGCCGAAUUAUUGGCGUAAGGGUGCCCAGCCGCUUUAAUGCUUAAAGCGGGCUUAACCCCGAGGGGACGGAACUGGAACUGGU
rnacentral:rRNA from 1 species